rnacentral:rRNA from 1 species
AUUGAACGCUGGCGGCAUGCUUUACACAUGCAAGUCGGACGGCAGCACAGAGAAGCUUGCUUCUUGGGUGGCGAGUGGCGAACGGGUGAGUAACAUAUCGGAACGUACCGAGCAGUGGGGGAUAACUAAUCGAAAGAUUAGCUAAUACCGCAUAUCUUCUGAGGAAGAAAGCAGGGGACCAUUUGGCCUUGCGCUGUUUGAGCGGCCGAUAUCUGAUUAGCUAGUUGGUGGGGUAAAGGCCUACCAAGGCGACGAUCAGUAGCGGGUCUGAGAGGAUGAUCCGCCACACUGGGACUGAGACACGGCCCAGACUCCUACGGGAGGCAGCAGUGGGGAAUUUUGGACAAUGGGCGCAAGCCUGAUCCAGCCAUGCCGCGUGUCUGAAGAAGGCCUUCGGGUUGUAAAGGACUUUUGUCAGGGAAGAAAAGGGCGGGGUUAAUACCCCUGUCUGAUGACGGUACCUGAAGAAUAAGCACCGGCUGACUACGUG